rnacentral:tmRNA from 1 species
GGGGGUGCAAGGCUUCGACGGGAAAUGUACUUUGACAAGCUGCAAGCCGAGCUUGAACCAGGCUCGUCUGGCAAAGCCAGACCCUGCUCUGCAGGGUAAAACAGGUUCAAAAACACAAGUGUCGAUGCAAAUCGCACUCCUCGCUUCGCGUACGCAUUCGCUUAAGCUCAAGUGAGGCAUCUCUUUCAAACUUAUCUCGAGAGUUUGACUGGGGUGUAAUUAAAUCGGGAUGCCUUUGACAGGUUACGGAUUAGCCGAGGUCAGAGAAAGACCAAUUAAUCCAAGUGGUCCGCGACUUUAUGCGAGACUAAGCUUGUAGAUGCUUUAAAAGAACUUUUUCGGACGCGGGUUCAAUUCCCGCCACCUCCACAC